GGAAGUGGGGGAGCCAAGGAGACACCCCAGCGCUGGGAUCCGGCAAGUCCUCCCUCUGAGUGGCCAGGGGGCCUCGUCCCUUCUCCCGAUGCCUUCUGCCCUUCCCUGGGUCUCCGGAACCCAGCUUGUCCUAACCGCUUUCGCUGCGGGCAGCGCUGGCCACGCGGCCCCCGCCGCCGGCGGUUCUCCGUGGCCAAGCAUCCUUGGCCUUGGAGCCCAGGGGCUGCGCUCCCCUUGGGGCCGGGGCGGGAGCGAGGACCUCGGCGGUACUCGCCCGUGCGCUGGGCGCAGCCGCUUGGCCGUCAGCCCUCUGGCGCGGCGCCCACCCGCUGGGUCCCGCCCCGGCAGCGACGCAGGGAUAACCCGCGGCCGCGCCUGCCCGCUCGCAUCCCUCUCCCGCGCCCAGUUCUCCCUCGCAGCGGCUCGAAGUGCGCCCCUCGCCCUCCUGCUCGCGCCCCGCCGCCAUGGCCGCCUCCCCCGCGCGGCCUGCUGUCCUGGCCCUGACCGGGCUGGCGCUGCUCCUGCUCCUGUGCUGGGGCCCAGGUGGCAUAAGUGGAAAUAAACUCAAGCUGAUGCUUCAAAAACGAGAAGGACCAUGGAGCACUUUAGAGACUAUCUUUGGAACACAUAAUCCUCAGUUGGUGGGGCAGGCGUGGAACAGCAGUGUUGCGGUAGUCCGUGUAUCCAAAGAGCUCUUGGGGAAGGGUUUCAAACAGGAAAGCCUUUCUUGUUAUUAGCCUCUGUUUUGAAUAAUGCAUCUAAGAUAAAUGUGACAGCAACAAAAUAUAGAAAUUGGACAGUCUGGGGGUCACAACGCACAGGUUCUGGACCUGCUGUAAUCAGAUCAGGUGGAUCAGUUGUGGGGUCUCGUGAAUGUCAUUUUCCCUCUCCCAACUUUCAUCUCUAUCUGUAAAAUUAAGAAUCCCUUAGAAAUGAAAAAGUGUGACCACACUUCUGAUGUGACCAUUUAGUCAGUUAUUCUUUCCCUCCUAGUUUUUGGGGGAUUCUAGCAGGCUGAACUUCCUCCCUGAAGUGGGGUCCUCAGUCAUUCUUCCCACACUCCCCAGUUGCUGCUCAGGGGCCCUCCCACGGGUGGCUGGAGAACAGGCUUGGGGCGGUCCCAGCAUCUUUUCCUGGGUUUCCAGCCACCCAAGAAGCCCUGGUCCACCCCCAAUCUCUGAGGCGGCUCAGAGGGUCCCCUCCCUGUGCUGUGUGGUGGCCAGAGCCUCACCUCACGGAUGCCGCCCAGGGAUCAACAAUGCCCUCACAGAGCCAGUUUGUCAUAGGUGAGCAAGCUGCUGAGGCAGUCACAACUCCUAGGGGUGCAUCCCGCAGCCUUGACUCAGUUCAAAUCAAGAAACACAUAUUGAGCACCUACUGUGUACAAAACAGUGUUACAAUCCCUGAAGGGAUUGUAAACAAACAAACAAAAAACCCUGCUGGUAUUUAUCCAUACGACCAACGAAUGCACCAGGCCUGCAUUUCCAUGAUCCUGUGCAUUUUUCCUAACGUCAUCGAGAGGGACUGUCCACCCACUUUUAUAGAUACGGGGACAGAGGCUGAAAACGUGACAGCAGGAGAAAAACGCCUAAUGGCACAGUGGCUUCCUCGAGCACAUCCUGCGGAAGUGGUUCCAUUUCAACAAUUGAGACUGUGAUGGAAAGACGUUAGCAGCAGCAGUGUGAGGGUGCGGGUCAGUAUCCUGCAUCAAUGGUCAGACUGUGAGGCGCAGAGAGGCACUGGCUUAAGGGGAUUCUGUGUCCCAGCAGCCUGGUGUGAGAAUCAGCUGUACUGUUGGGCAGGGUCUGGUCCCUGCUCACCCGGGGCUCAUCAUUCCAGUUCCUUUUUCUUACAUAAUCUCCUGAGCCAAGCACAACCCUCUUGUGUUGGCAUAUGCAAUGGACAUGCCCGUACACCUGUGUGGCACUAGAUAUCCAGUCUGUUUCCUGAAUGCGGAGCCUGAGGGGUGGGCCACUUGCCCCUGGGAAAGGCCUGGGUCCUGGGAGCGAGUGGGCUGCAGGAGAUGAGCUGAAUUUCAUUUCUACCCUGAGGACCUAGAGGUUGAAGUUUAGUCCAUGCCCCUUUAUAGGGUUGUACCAAAUAACACUUACUAACAGGAAGCAUGGUGACAGAAUCUACAAGGCUGUGUCACAUUGUCACACGCAAGUAAGAAUGAAGUUGAGAGUCAAAACCCUCCUACACAUGGUGGUGGGGGAUGGGAUGUAUAACAGGGAUUCACCGCAAGUGAGGAAGGAAAUCAUUCUUUGUGCUUUGGGGAUGGGGAAUUGAUGAUUUCAGCACCUGUUCCAACUAAGACUAAAGUGGCCGUUGAUGAGAAUAAAGCCAAAGAAUUCCUUGGCAGCCUGAAGCGCCAGAAGCGGCAGCUGUGGGACCGGACUCGGCCCGAGGUGCAGCAGUGGUACCAGCAGUUUCUCUACAUGGGCUUUGACGAAGCGAAAUUUGAAGAUGACAUCACCUAUUGGCUUAACAGAGAUCGAAAUGGACAUGAAUACUAUGGCGAUUACUACCAACGUCACUAUGAAGAAGACUCUGCAAUUGGUCCCCGGAGCCCCUACGGCUUUAGGCAUGGAGCCAGCGUCAACUACGAUGACUACUAACCAUGACUUGCCACACGCUGUACAAGAAGCAAGUAGCGGUUCUCUUCAUGUAUCUCCUAAUGCCUUACACUACUUGGUUUCUGAUUUGCUCUAUUUCAGCAGAUCUUUUCUACCUACUUCGUGUGAUCAAAAAAGAAGAGUUAAAACAACACAUGUAAAUGCCUUUUGAUAUUUCAUGGGAAUGCCUCUCAUUUAAAAAUAGAAAUAAAGCAUUUUGUUAAAAAGAAAA